AAAAACUCCAAAGGCUGAGCACUGCAUAUACUGAAAUUUUACUAAAAUUUCAGCACAUACCGUCGCAAUUGCACAAUGAAAGCAAAUUCCACUGUACACAAUUUGCAAAAUCAGAGGAAGAGAGAAAAUGAAUCAUAAAUGAGCCAUCUAAAGUGAGGCAAAACAAUUACAAGAACAAAUGCUGCAGCAGAAAAGAUGGCAGAAUCAGAAAUAGAAAAUGAACCAUUUUAACGCAUAGCCCACCAACAAUAAUGGAGUGCCACAGGCAGUUUACUGCACUUUUAAAGCCUCAUUUUACAGCUGCUCCAGCAGGACAAUUGAGCUAAAAAUAAAUGGGUUGUAAGGGGAAAAUUUGAAUACUCACAAUUUACAAAUUCUUUUUAUGCUCUGAAUAUUCUAACCUAAAAAGUGGGCAGGGCUCAGACGCAUGGGGUCCUUGCGAUGGAAGAGACUUAACAAGAAUAAAGUGAGCCUUCCUCAGUAUGACCAUAGCAGAAACUUCCAUGCAGAUCAUGGCUAACAUCCAAGCUAACCAAGCAGAAACCUGAACACGUCACUCAAUGAGAUGAUCCCUUCUACUCGCUUGCUACCAGCCUCCACAAUCAAAAGUCUCCUUACGCCAGGGUUUGCCAAUCGCUCCAUCACUUUGUGUAGAGGAUCGGAUCCUAAACACAUCUGACAUCUCUGUCCAUUGUAGAAUCCAUAUGGCGAAUUUGCAUCUUGUCCCAAUUGCAAUGCCUGGUAGUGUAGAAUAGAGGGAGGCAGACCACUAGAGUGAGUUCUCUGCUAUGCACACGUACUAAAAAAGAAAUGCAUUAAUUCCUCAUGUUACUUCCAAUGUUAUGAAUAUUCUCCUGACUUAAUUCUACCUUCAGGCUCUGUGUAGAUUGGUUGGAGCCACUACAAGAAUGUCUACAAUUGCAUGAUAAUAAAGUCGUAAAAAAAAAAAACAAAAUUCAGAAUAUAACCUGAUGAAUACUGAUUUCAUCAAGAUGAAUUUGCGCAUAGGCUUUGUCUUUUGCCAAAGCAGUGAUAUCACUAUCAAGAAAAUAACAUCAAGGUGUCACUAGCUUGUACAUCAAUAAACAUGUAGGAAAAUAAAACAGAAACUUACCUUCGUGAGUAAAUUUCCAGGAGUGAAUCAUUAUCGUCCACAAUUGGUAUUGAACUGACUUCAG
rnacentral:misc_RNA from 1 species